CGACAGUAAUUAGCUCACUGGCAUCGCUAGUGUUGUCACAUAAUCCAUAGACGUAAGGGAAAAUAAUGAUAGUACCUUACUAAUAGUGUCGUCAAAUGCUGGUGCCAGAAGACUCGGUAACACCAGUGACGCAAACGUUAAUCUUCAUAAACAGGCGUAAAGGGUUUGUAGGCUGCUUUAAAUCUUUAAAGCUAGAAUCAAAAAGAGGUUAAGACAUAUAAUACUUAGAGUUAGGGCUAAUAUCCUCAGAUACUAAGGGGAAUACUUAGGGCGAAAGCAAUUAACCAGUAAUGAUUGACGCUGAGAAACGAAGGUGAGGAAAGGAAAUAGGAUUAGAUACCCCGGUACCCCUCUCUGUCAACGAUGAAUGGUAGUCUUUAGUAAAAUUUCUAGAGGCGUAGUUAACACGUUAACCAUUCCGCCUUGUGAGUACGAUUGCAAAAUUGAAAACAAAAAAAUUAGUCGGUCUCGAAGCAAACGAAGUGAAGCAUGUUAUUUAAUUCGUUAAAAUCCGCA
rnacentral:rRNA from 1 species